rnacentral:rRNA from 1 species
GAUGAACGCUGGCGGCGUGCCUAAUACAUGCAAGUCGAGCGAAAAGAUAAGGAGCUUGCUCCUUUGACGUUAGCGGCGGACGGGUGAGUAACACGUGGAUAACCUACCUAUAAGACUGGGAUAACUUCGGGAAACCGGAGCUAAUACCGGAUAACAUAUUGAACCGCAUGGUUCAAUAGUGAAAGGCGGCUUUGCUGUCACUUAUAGAUGGAUCCGCGCCGGAUUAGCUAGUUGGUAAGGUAACGGCUUACCAAGGCAACGAUACGUAGCCGACCUGAGAGGGUGAUCGGCCACACUGGAACUGAGACACGGUCCAGACUCCUACGGGAGGCAGCAGUAGGGAAUCUUCCGCAAUGGGCGAAAGCCUGACGGAGCAACGCCGCGUGAGUGAUGAAGGUCUUCGGAUCGUAAAACUCUGUUACCAGGGAAGAACAAAUGUGUAAGUAACUGUGCACAUCUUGACGGUACCUUAUCAGAAAGCCACGGCUAACUACGUG